UAGGUAACCCUGAUGGCUCUUCUCUCUCCUACUGUAAAUGUCUAGGUAACCCUGAUGGCUCUUCUCUCUCCUACUGUAAAUGUCUAGGUAACCCUGAUGGCUCUUCUCUCUCCUACUGUAAAUGUCUAGGUAACCCUGAUGGCUCUUCUCUCUCCUACUGUAAAUGUCUAGGUAACCCUGACGGCUCUUCUCUCUCCUACUGUAAAUGUCUAGGUAACCCUGAUGGCUCUUCUCUCUCCUACUGUAAAUGUCCAGGUAACCCUGACGGCUCUUCUCUCUCCUACUGUAAAUGUCUAGGUAACCCUGACGGCUCUUCUCUCUCCUACUGUAAAUGUCUAGGUAACCCUGACGGCUCUUCUCUCUCCUACUGUAAAUGUCUAGGUAACCCUGACGGCUCUUCUCUCUCCUACUGUAAAUGUCUAGGUAACCCUGAUGGCUCUUCUCUCUCCUACUGUAAAUGUCCAGGUAACCCUGACGGCUCUUCUCUCUCCUACUGUAAAUGUCUAGGUAACCCUGAUGGCUCUUCUCUCUCCUACUGUAAAUGUCCAGGUAACCCUGACGGCUCUUCUCUCUCCUACUGUAAAUGUCUAGGUAACCCUGAUGGCUCUUCUCUCUCCUACUGUAAAUGUCCAGGUAACCCUGACGGCUCUUCUCUCUCCUACUGUAAAUGUCUAGGUAACCCUGAUGGCUCUUCUCUCUCCUACUGUAAAUGUCCAGGUAACCCUGACGGCUCUUCUCUCUCCUACUGUAAAUGUCCAGGUAACCCUGACUGAUCCUACCUACUGUAAAUGUCCAGGUAACCCUGACUGAUCCUACCUACUGUAAAUGUCCAGGUAACCCUGACGGCUCUUCUCUCUCCUACUGUAAAUGUCCAGGUAACCCUGACUGAUCCUACCUACUGUAAAUGUCCAGGUAAUCCUGACUGAUCCUACCUACUGUAAAUGUCUAGGUAACCUUGACGGC